ACCUUCUCCCUUUUCACUUUUGGAGAUGGAAAUCAGCCUUGAUAAUACAAUGACAUUCCUACCUCAAAGUAAUAGUAGUAGUAGUAGUAGUAGUAAAGUAUGUCAUGACACAAGUUUGCAAAUGCAAUGCCCACAGGAGGAAAACAUGUCAUAUAAAUGUGUAAAUUAGGUUAUGUACAAGAAACCCAACAAGGAAAUCAUAAGGACAAAUGAAACAUAGCCUCAGUCUGGGAGGUAGUGGGAAUAGUGUGGACUGUGGAAUGGAAUCUUAUCUCCAGAUAACCACCAAAAAGCUGGACAUGGAGCUGUGGCUCAAGUUGAGCAAAAAGCUCAGGGGUAUCACCCAGACCUUGACUGUAAA